UACGUAGGGGGCGAGCGUUAUCCGGAUUCAUUGGGCGUAAAGCGCGCGUAGGCGGCCGCCUAAGCGGAACCUCUAACCCCGGGGCUCAACCUCGGGCCGGAUUCCGGACUGGGCGGCUCGAGUGCGGUAGAGGAGAGCGGAAUUCCCGGUGUAGCGGUGGAAUGCGCAGAUAUCGGGAAGAACACCGAUGGCGAAGGCAGCUCUCUGGGCCGUCACUGACGCUGAGGCGCGAAAGCUGGGGGAGCGAACAGG
rnacentral:rRNA from 1 species